rnacentral:rRNA from 1 species
UUAAGCGACUAAGCGUACACGGUGGAUGCCCUGGCAGUCAGAGGCGAUGAAGGACGUGCUAAUCUGCGAUAAGCGUCGGUAAGGUGAUAUGAACCGUUAUAACCGGCGAUUUCCGAAUGGGGAAACCCAGUGUGAUUCGUCACACUAUCAUUAACUGAAUCCAUAGGUUAAUGAGGCGAACCGGGGGAACUGAAACAUCUAAGUACCCCGAGGAAAAGAAAUCAACCGAGAUUCCCCCAGUAGCGGCGAGCGAACGGGGAGCAGCCCAGAGCCUGAAUCAGUGUGUGUGUUAGUGGAAGCGUCUGGAAAGGCGCGCGAUACAGGGUGACAGCCCCGUACACAAAAAUGCACAUGCUGUGAGCUCGAUGAGUAGGGCGGGACACGUGGUAUCCUGUCUGAAUAUGGGGGGACCAUCCUCCAAGGCUAAAUACUCCUGACUGACCGAUAGUGAACCAGUACCGUGAGGGAAAGGCGAAAAGAACCCCGGCGAGGGGAGUGAAAAAGAACCUGAAACCGUGUACGUACAAGCAGUGGGAGCCUCUUAAUGGGGUGACUGCGUACCUUUUGUAUAAUGGGUCAGCGACUUAUAUUCUGUAGCAAGGUUAACCGAAUAGGGGAGCCGAAGGGAAACCGAGUCUUAACUGGGCGUUAAGUUGCAGGGUAUAGACCCGAAACCCGGUGAUCUAGCCAUGGGCAGGUUGAAGGUUGGGUAACACUAACUGGAGGACCGAACCGACUAAUGUUGAAAAAUUAGCGGAUGACUUGUGGCUGGGGGUGAAAGGCCAAUCAAACCGGGAGAUAGCUGGUUCUCCCCGAAAGCUAUUUAGGUAGCGCCUCGUGAAUUCAUCUCCGGGGGUAGAGCACUGUUUCGGCAAGGGGGUCAUCCCGACUUACCAACCCGAUGCAAACUGCGAAUACCGGAGAAUGUUAUCACGGGAGACACACGGCGGGUGCUAACGUCCGUCGUGAAGAGGGAAACAACCCAGACCGCCAGCUAAGGUCCCAAAGUCAUGGUUAAGUGGGAAACGAUGUGGGAAGGCCCAGACAGCCAGGAUGUUGGCUUAGAAGCAGCCAUCAUUUAAAGAAAGCGUAAUAGCUCACUGGUCGAGUCGGCCUGCGCGGAAGAUGUAACGGGGCUAAACCAUGCACCGAAGCUGCGGCAGCGACGCUUAUGCGUUGUUGGGUAGGGGAGCGUUCUGUAAGCCUGCGAAGGUGUGCUGUGAGGCAUGCUGGAGGUAUCAGAAGUGCGAAUGCUGACAUAAGUAACGAUAAAGCGGGUGAAAAGCCCGCUCGCCGGAAGACCAAGGGUUCCUGUCCAACGUUAAUCGGGGCAGGGUGAGUCGACCCCUAAGGCGAGGCCGAAAGGCGUAGUCGAUGGGAAACAGGUUAAUAUUCCUGUACUUGGUGUUACUGCGAAGGGGGGACGGAGAAGGCUAUGUUGGCCGGGCGACGGUUGUCCCGGUUUAAGCGUGUAGGCUGGUUUUCCAGGCAAAUCCGGAAAAUCAAGGCUGAGGCGUGAUGACGAGGCACUACGGUGCUGAAGCAACAAAUGCCCUGCUUCCAGGAAAAGCCUCUAAGCAUCAGGUAACAUCAAAUCGUACCCCAAACCGACACAGGUGGUCAGGUAGAGAAUACCAAGGCGCUUGAGAGAACUCGGGUGAAGGAACUAGGCAAAAUGGUGCCGUAACUUCGGGAGAAGGCACGCUGAUAUGUAGGUGAAGCGACUUGCUCGUGGAGCUGAAAUCAGUCGAAGAUACCAGCUGGCUGCAACUGUUUAUUAAAAACACAGCACUGUGCAAACACGAAAGUGGACGUAUACGGUGUGACGCCUGCCCGGUGCCGGAAGGUUAAUUGAUGGGGUUAGCGGUAACGCGAAGCUCUUGAUCGAAGCCCCGGUAAACGGCGGCCGUAACUAUAACGGUCCUAAGGUAGCGAAAUUCCUUGUCGGGUAAGUUCCGACCUGCACGAAUGGCGUAAUGAUGGCCAGGCUGUCUCCACCCGAGACUCAGUGAAAUUGAACUCGCUGUGAAGAUGCAGUGUACCCGCGGCAAGACGGAAAGACCCCGUGAACCUUUACUAUAGCUUGACACUGAACAUUGAGCCUUGAUGUGUAGGAUAGGUGGGAGGCUUUGAAGUGUGGACGCCAGUCUGCAUGGAGCCGACCUUGAAAUACCACCCUUUAAUGUUUGAUGUUCUAACGUUGACCCGUAAUCCGGGUUGCGGACAGUGUCUGGUGGGUAGUUUGACUGGGGCGGUCUCCUCCUAAAGAGUAACGGAGGAGCACGAAGGUUGGCUAAUCCUGGUCGGACAUCAGGAGGUUAGUGCAAUGGCAUAAGCCAGCUUGACUGCGAGCGUGACGGCGCGAGCAGGUGCGAAAGCAGGUCAUAGUGAUCCGGUGGUUCUGAAUGGAAGGGCCAUCGCUCAACGGAUAAAAGGUACUCCGGGGAUAACAGGCUGAUACCGCCCAAGAGUUCAUAUCGACGGCGGUGUUUGGCACCUCGAUGUCGGCUCAUCACAUCCUGGGGCUGAAGUAGGUCCCAAGGGUAUGGCUGUUCGCCAUUUAAAGUGGUACGCGAGCUGGGUUUAGAACGUCGUGAGACAGUUCGGUCCCUAUCUGCCGUGGGCGCUGGAGAACUGAGGGGGGCUGCUCCUAGUACGAGAGGACCGGAGUGGACGCAUCACUGGUGUUCGGGUUGUCAUGCCAAUGGCACUGCCCGGUAGCUAAAUGCGGAAGAGAUAAGUGCUGAAAGCAUCUAAGCACGAAACUUGCCCCGAGAUGAGUUCUCCCUGACUCCCUGAGAGUCCUGAAGGAACGUUGAAGACGACGACGUUGAUAGGCCGGGUGUGUAAGCGCAGCGAUGCGUUGAGCUAACCGGUACUAAUGAACCGUGAGGCUUAACCUU